CACAGGCUCACUGCACAACUGCACAGAUGCUCUAUCCCUGUUACGGUUUUCCAAAACUGAGAUGAAAUGCUUAAGCUUCUGCAAAAGACAAAAAUAUCCAACAGAGAUUCUGAUGGAUUUAUUCAAGUUCAGAUUGCCACUAGAAUCAAUCAGAUUGUUGAAAUGAUGCCCCAUAGAUAGAGUUCUAUUUGAUUGGCUUCUUUCAACAGAAGAGACAGUUGGAUUUGCAAGAUUUUUUACAGUAUGAAAACCAAUCAUUUCGAGCUGCUAGUGACAAUGGAAAGCUUCACACCUGUCCUGUGUGAGAAAUCUCAAUUGAUCAAAAUCCUUGCAGCAGAUAUAACAGUGUUCCGGGAAGAACCACCAGCAGAUAUUAUCAUAGUAGAUGGGUCAGAACUGGUGAAUACCCUACUACCAUGGAAAGCAGGUACUACCUAUAAUAGCUAUGCAGAGGAUGAGUUUCUUCCUAUAGUGCAGGCAUACUGUAGAAAGUACAAAAGAUGAGAUAUUGUAUUUGAUGUGUGUGUGCUGGAGAGCUUGAAAGCAGAGAGAAGGCAUGCUCAAGUUAAAGGUCUCAGGAGAAGGGUAGCAGGAAGCAGCACAGCACUGAAAGACUGGAGAAGCUUCUUAAGAGAUUCUAGCAACAAGAAUGAGGUUUUCCACUUUUUAGCAGACAAGAUAGCAGGACUAAGCACAGACAAACAAUUAUUGUAAAAAAAGGAGAAAACAUCACAAGCAACCAAAAUAUAUGCCAAGAUAAUUUGGCUUCUUGCUCACACAAAGAGGCUGACACUUGCAUAUUUGUCCAUGCCAAAAAUACAGUAACAUUGAGUUGCAAUGAUGUUGGCAGUACCAUAUCAGUACUGCCAUUGAAGGAGCUUGGCCUUCAGACUGUGUGGGUUUCUUUUGGGAGGUAUACAAAGUGCCAAUGGAUUCUUGUCCACAAAAUCGCAGAUGCACUAGGACCUGAAAAGAAACAGUGGACUACCCUUCUCCCAUGCACUUGCUGGAUGUGAUGCAAUAUCAUCAUUUCAUGGCAAAGGCAAGAAGGCUGUGUGACAUGCAUGGAAUGUAUUUGAUGAUGUGCCCUGUGUGUUUACAAAACUGAAUCAGUGCCCAGCAGUGAUUGAAGACCAAGUUCUCAACAUCUUGGACAGGUUUGUGGUAAUCAUGUAUGACAGAGGUGGCACAGCUAUGCAUGUGAAUGAUGCAAGACUUUACUUUUUGCAAAAAAGAAAAAAAAGGGGGGGGAAACACAUUUUGAUCUUCCACCAACCAAGGAUGCCCUCAAAGUGGGCUGCAUAUCAGGCAGGAAUAGUAUGGGGCCAAACAACUUGUGCACCAAACAUAGCAAGUCCUGCUGAAUGGGGAUGGACAAAAUAGCAAGGUACAUGGACAGUUCUUUGGCCAACACUUUCCCCUCUUGCAGAAUGCUGCAAGGAGUAUACUAAAUGUUCCUGCAAAGCUGACUGCAAAGGAAGGUGUAAAUAUUUCAAAAGUGGUCUCAACUGCACUGAA